rnacentral:rRNA from 1 species
UGGUGGAGUGAGUUGCCUGGUUAACUCUGUUAACGAACGACACCUUAACAUGCUAAAUAGUUAAACGUAGCUUCGGUUACGUGGGCAACUUCUCAGAGGGACUUUGCGUGUCUAACGCAAGGAAGUUUGGGGCAAGAGCAG